rnacentral:rRNA from 1 species
GACGAACGCUGGCGGCGUGCCUAACACAUGCAAGUCGAACGGGGCAAUCCUUCGGGAUUGCUUAGUGGCGAACGGGUGAGUAACGCGUGAGAAACCUGCCUUUCAGUGGGGGACAACAGUUGGAAACGACUGCUAAUACCGCAUAAUGUUAUUUGAGGGCAUCCUCGAAUAACCAAAGCUUUAUGUGCUGAAAGAUGGUCUCGCGUCUGAUUAGCUAGUUGGUGAGGUAACGGCUCACCAAGGCGACGAUCAGUAGCCGGUCUGAGAGGAUGAACGGCCACAUUGGGACUGAGAUACGGCCCAGACUCCUACGGGAGGCAGCAGUGGGGAAUAUUGGGCAAUGGGGGGAAACCCUGACCCAGCAACGCCGCGUGAAGGAAGAA